AGUGAUCAGCCUUUCCUGGAUCCCGUUUUUUUAAGUGGAAGCGCGAAACAUUUAUAGCUAAUAAAAAGAAAUUAGAAACUUCGAAAUUUGUUUAAAUUUGUGGUGUGCUAAAGUUACAAAGUACCCGUGGCAAUUGUGUUUCAUACAGAGAACAAUUGUGUGUGAUGUUACAGGGUGAGCACUGAGAUUCCUUACCAAUUCACUUAUGUUUCAACUAAACAUGAAGGGAUCACGAGGGGAUAAAACAUCAUUUGACAGCGCUGUGCAAAUUAAUAACUGACAGUGUAGUAAAGGCGCAUGAUGUUACAGAAGCCUUUGCCCUCAGCACCAUUGCCAAUCAGUUACGAACUGCACCUAAGAGGAAAGAAAGGCUGGAUGCAGUGUCAUUUAUUAAGUGUUAAGUAAAUGUUUUUGUAAUUUUGUUUCUUUUGCUGUUUGAGACAGUUUUCUAUCUUCUCUUAG